rnacentral:rRNA from 1 species
GCUUACGGCCACACCGCCUGGUUCACGCCCGAUCUCGUUUGAUCUCGGAAGCUAAGAUAGGUUGGGCCUGGUUAGUACUUGGAUGGGAGACCGCCUGGGAAUACAGGUGCCUGUAAACC